UUUCGAACACAAGAGGAACCGCCGGUUUUGUUUUUAUAAAUAAUCACAUCAAAGUAAUCAACAACACGAUAUUGUUUCUCCAGUUACAACCUGCGGAACUUCUCCAUAUCUGCAAGUCAGGGAAAAGAUUCUCCAUGACGGCAAGAUGGUGACGCAGGAGCAGACCGAGUGGGAUGCCGUCAACAGGAUGCUGCAACAUCAUGGCUUUAAGCCCGUUCGUUUUGCAGAUCCGACCGAGAACAAAAACCUUGCAGACCUGGUCCUGCUGGAAAAGACGUCGGCGGCCGAACUGCUCGUCGCGCUGAGAACGACGUUGACAGAUUCGGAGAGGAGACAGGCCCUCGUUCAGGAGCUCAUUCGGUCCAACGCCGGUCUCAAACAGGAAGCGGAGCAUCAGCGGGCCCGAGCGGCACGUCAGUCUCGGAGAGCGGAGGAGCUAGAAGGCGUUCUGUCUGGGGUAAAAGUCAAAGUUCAGGGCCUGGAAGACUCAAUCAUCAGUAAAGCAGCUCACAGGCAGGGUCAACUGCAACGACUCCAGCAGGACAAGAGAGACGUAGAGGCUUUGCAACAGGAGCUUAGCACGCAGAAGGAGCUGGUAUCUCGGCUCCAACGAAAGCUUCACCAAGCUGCCAAAGAGGAGGAGAACCGUGUCGCUCGGCAGAACCGAGCUUCCCGACGGUUCCACCUUCAGUUACCCGGUGACCAGCUUUGUACGACGUUCUCGAUCAGCGACGGCGGUCAGAGAUGCGGCUCUCGCGAGACGAGCGACGACUCGGACUCCUCACGGAACGGGGACGCCUCGGCCUCGACUCUGUCCAGUUAUAAAGCUCUGCUCGAGUCGUAUCAGGAGCAGCUGAAGAAGAUCGAACGUCGGCGCGAAGAACUGAAGACGGAGAUCCGACGGCUGAAACUAGACCUCGAGUCCAGGCCAGAAGACGCAGCAGCUCGGCGGGCCGAAGCCGAGACACGGCGGCUCGCAGACGAUCGAAAAGACCUCGAGGAUCUCCAGCGUUCUGUCGGCAGACCGACGCGGAGGCUUCCGCCUCGGCGGUGGGAGGACAGAACGAGCUCGCGUCCCGACCGCGUAAACGUGGAAGACGUGACGCGUACGGCGGACACGCCGCUGGAAGAGAUCGCCGCAGACAGUGAGGUGUUGCAAAGUCCCACCAAACCCACUCUGCUGGCGAUGGUGUCUCACUUCCAGAAGCUGUUUGACGCUCCGAGCCCGCGAGGCGUUUACCCACGCACGAACGAGGUUUACACCCGCCUGGCAGAGACGAACAACGCCAUGAGGAAUCUCAGAGACAUCCUGGAUAUGGACGAGGCCGCGUCCCCUGGCGACGUGGUGAACGCGGUGGCCGGUGUCGCGACUGGACAACACAGACUGAACGCGCUGAUCGAAAGCGCCGACAUAGACAGGGAUACAGAGGCUGGAAGACAUUUUACCCACAGUGAGAGCACUCAAGUCACACGACUGCUCUGGGACCUCGAGGGGUUGAAUUGUCAAAUCACAAUGGCAAAAACAGCAGCACAGAGACAGAGGCAAAGAAAAGACGGAGCGAGAAAGGAACCGUGUCAAAUCGGAGAGAGAGAGACUCCAUCCGGCUUAGUACUGCACGUGGCCGAACGACGGGCCGAUCGUCUGCUCCUACCACGAUCCGCCGUCUGGGUUGUAGUCCAACGCGACAGGCGCAAAGAUGUUUUUUUUUUUUACAAAGCCAAGCUGGAAGAGUGCGCUGACGGUCGACAACGACCUCCACGAUCCGUAGCGGUGUGGCUUGAAGGCGGCGCGUUCUACACGAACGGCUCUGGCGGCGGUCACCGAGAAGCUUGACGCGGCCGAAGGGGCGGAACCGCGGCGGGUCCUCGUUCUUCUCGAUGUCUCUGCAGCCUUCGACAGGGCGAAUAGCGGCAUUCUCUCGUCUACCCUCUCCGACCUGGGAGCGUCUGGACCGGCACGGCGACGGACGGCCUCCUACCCGGAAGGGCGCUCGCACUGAGCGUCACGUGCACUCUCUGGACCGGUGUCCCUCUGGGCCAUGUAGUGGGCCCACUCGUUAUCUCUAUGUACGGCUGCUCUCCGGGGGUGGACACCUGACGGUUCCCCGGCUGCUACGGAGCGUCCGGUGUGGCGAAGCUCUGGCUCAGAUGACGGCAAAAGUGUCAAUGUGUAGG